GGUUGGUCCAAGCGCAAUGGUGUUUACCACUAAAUUGUUCACAACCAGUGACAGAUUGUUUUGUUCCUUCUCUACUCCAAUUUCAUUUGACUAGCCUUAA
rnacentral:Y_RNA from 1 species